CCUACGGGAGGCAGCAGUGGGGAAUAUUGGACAAUGGGGGGAACCCUGAUCCAGCGACGCCGCGUGAGUGAAGAAGUAUUUCGGUAUGUAAAGCUCUAUCAGCAGGGAAGAAAGAAAUGACGGUACCUGACUAAGAAGCACCGGCUAACUACGAGCCAGCAGCCGCGGUAAUACGGAGGGGGCAAGCGUUAUCCGGAUUUACUGGGUGUAAAGGGAGCGUAGACGGCGAUGUAAGUCUGAAGUGAAAGGCGGGGGCCCAACCCCCGGACUGCUUUGGAAACUGUAUGGCUGGAGUGCAGGAGAGGUAAGUGGAAUUCCUAGUGGAGCGGUGAAAUGCGUAGAUAUUAGGAGGAACACCAGUGGCGAAGGCGGCUUACUGGACUGUAACUGACGUUGAGGCUCGAAAGCGUGGGGAGCAAACAGGAUUAGAUACCCGAGUAGUC
rnacentral:rRNA from 1 species